AACGAACGCUGGCGGCAUGCUUAACACAUGCAAGUCGAACGAGACCUUCGGGUCUAGUGGCGCACGGGUGCGUAACGCGUGGGAAUCUGCCCUUUGCUACGGAAUAACUCAGAGAAAUUUGUGCUAAUACCGUAUAAUGUCGAAAGACCGAAGAUUUAUCGGCAAAGGAUGAGCCCGCGUAGGAUUAGCUAGUUGGUGAGGUAAAGGCUCACCAAGGCGACGAUCCUUAGCUGGUCUGAGAGGAUGAUCAGCCACACUGGGACUGAGACACGGCCCAGACUUCUACGGGAGGCAGCAGUGGGGAAUAUUGGACAAUGGGCGAAAGCCUGAUCCAGCAAUGCCGCGUGAGUGAUGAAGGCCUUAGGGUUGUAAAGCUCUUUUACCAGGGAUGAUAAUGACAGUACCUGGAGAAUAAGCUCCGGCUAACUCCGUGCCAGCAGCCGCCGUAAAAC
rnacentral:rRNA from 1 species